rnacentral:lncRNA from 1 species
GUUCAAUGCAAAAUUGGAAUCCUUGUCACUGAAUAGGAAUAGUUUGUAAAUUGCUUCUCCUACUUUUCAUCUCUGAAUAAUCUGUCCUUUAAUAUAGAACUGCUGAUCCCCAAAGGAAAUUCAUCCACGCUUAAUAUUUAACCUCUUUACAAAAGUGCUUGUGCUGUGAUGCUUUAGGCACUUUUAUUUGAAACACAAGAUCAGAGUGGGGAUUAUUAUGCUUUUCUGCAAUAAUAUAGUUCAAGUUUAAAGAAAAGUAAGCAGAUGGAUGGAAGUGUGUUGGCUAAUUUGGAGUCCCAACCCAACAUGCCUGGGAUAUACCAUUUCAGUGUAACACCUAACUUUCCCUACUCUUUCUAACUUCUACAUUCAUUUAUUGAGUUUUCCAGAUGAGACAGCUAUUUGACACAGGUUAAAUUAUUUUUAGAGAACUUGGAAAUCAUUCCAAGAGUUAGUGGCAAGAAUGGCAUUUCCUUUGUUAGAAAUAGCAAAGAGGGUCUGGCCUCUCCUGGGCCUCUUUCACCUUGGUUUCUCCAAGACCUGGUAAUACAGAUGUAGCAAGAAUUUAAAAGAGCAUUUUGAUGAAGUGAACAAAUAAUAGCAACUGUCUACACUCUAGGAGUUAUGUAUGCAAUUCAGUUGAAAUAACUUUUCAUGGUUCUGUAAUAGAAAAAAAAAAUCAAAGUAGCUGAGCUUUUAAAAUAGGUUUCAAAGCGAUUCCAAAGUUUUGUCCUUUUUUAGCUAAUCAUGUGGAAACUAUGUUCCAACUUUUCCUGUUUACAUUUUAGUGUUUCUAAAUCCAAAACUCCAAUACCAAUCACUGAAAUCUGGGAUAUAUAUUUAAA